rnacentral:rRNA from 1 species
UACAGAGGGGGCAAGCGUUGUUCGGAAUUACUGGGCGUAAAGGGCGCGUAGGCGGCCUGUUAAGUCGAACGUGAAAUCCCCGGGCUCAACCCGGGAACUGCGUCCGAUACUGGCAGGCUUGAAUUCGGGAGAGGGAUGCGGAAUUCCAGGUGUAGCGGUGAAAUGCGUAGAUAUCUGGAGGAACACCGGUGGCGAAGGCGGCCAUCCUGGACCGAGAUUGACGCUGAGGCGCGAAAGCCAGGGGAGCAACGGG